UCCUCUUUCUCACUCUCUUCUCUUUCUCUCAAGAACUACUUCAUACACAUUUUAAGUGCCGAUUUAGGACGGUUUUAAAUUGGAUUUUGAAGACGUCGUAGUUGAGUAAAAGAUAGAUCAAGGUAAGAGUUUUCCAUUUCUGUUGAUUGUGUUUGCAUGCAUGAUGUUUUUAUUUUGGGUUAUUCUCACUGUCUUCUCUUUUCUGUGUAGCUGAAGAACACACUCCUUUCUUCACUUUGAUUCAAGAUUUCUGGUCUUUUGGGUUGGAUUUCGAAUAUGUUGCAGUUGAAAGAAAGAUAGAUCAAGGUAAAAUCAAUUCAUUUUCGUAGGUUUUGUUCGCAUGCACGAAAAUUUUAGUCUAUUUGAUUAGUUUUUUAAGUAUGUACUUU
rnacentral:lncRNA from 1 species